rnacentral:misc_RNA from 1 species
AUUUUCAAAACCAUGUAGUAGAGUAGACAAGCGUUAAGUAAACAUGGAUAAAAAUAUUAAAGCAGCAAACCACGAGACAAAGCAAAUCCCAUAGAAAAAAAGUGACGCUUCAGGAGGUCCUUUCUCGAGAAACUUCUCUUGAGGGGUUUUCUUCCUUUGAGACUCAUGGUCUUGCCUUCUGUCGGGAUUUUCGUUGAUUGUCCCUCGCCCCUUAUGGGUGGAGGAUGACUAUCCUUCUUUCUGCCCAGAUGUGGGUUUAACCCUCUCCUCACCGGGUAGGGACUAUAAAUAGAUUAUGGUUUUUGGUCCCGCAGAUCCAUGAGCUUAAAGAGAGAGGGAGUUUGUUAGGUGACCUGUGCCUUGUGCUGCGUGUUGUGUUUUCUUGGUUUCUCUAUUGUUCUAUUCUUCUAGAGUUAUUGUUGCUUUCUUUCAGGUGGAAGUGAGAAUCUCCUUCAAGUUGGUAUUCUCAAAGACUUUACGGCACCUUUAGCAAGUUUACCGAUCCCUUAAGGCGAGAAGAUGUUCGUCAGUGCUCUACUAUGCCUACUUCCUAUGCAUCCCAUCCCUGGCCUUGUUCUGUAUAUGGCUCUAAGGAUCUUUAUCUCAGCUGAUCGGCGUUGCAAAGGAUGUUAUCAAGAUCUUUAUAAUCCAACAAAAUGUUG